AGUGAACGCUGGCGGUAGGCCUAACACAUGCAAGUCGAACGGCAGCACAGGAGAGCUUGCUCUCUGGGUGGCGAGUGGCGGACGGGUGAGGAAUACAUCGGAAUCUACUUUUUCGUGGGGGAUAACGUAGGGAAACUUACGCUAAUACCGCAUACGACCUACGGGUGAAAGCAGGGGAUCUUCGGACCUUGCGCGAUUGACUGAGCCGAUGUCGGAUUAGCUAGUUGGCGGGGGAAAGGCCCACCAAGGCGACGAUCCGUAGCUGGUCUGAGAGGAUGAUCAGCCACACUGGAACUGAGACACGGUCCAGACUCCUACGGGAGGCAGCAGUGGGGAAUAUUGGACAAUGGGCGCAAGCCUGAUCCAGCCAUACCGCGUGGGUGAAGAAGGCCUUCGGGUUGUAAAGCCCUUUUGUUGGGAAAGAAAUCCAGCUGGUUAAUACCCGGUUGAGAUGACGGUACCCAAAGAAUAAGCACCGGCUAACUUCGUGCCAGCCGCCGCGGUAA
rnacentral:rRNA from 1 species